CCUGCCUUAAGCUCCAGCCAUAGUACACUAUGUGGGCGUGGGGAUCCUGGUGUUUUGCUGGUGUUAACCUUCCCCACAGCUACCAAGUUUGCUUCAGCCAGUGCAUCAUGUGACCAUGGUGACCAUACAACCCGAGUGCUCUUCUCACCGUGGCCAGGUAAUUUCAAAGGUUUCCUCAGUCGUGUUGUCCAUGUUUUGUGCUCUACAUAAGAUAGAGAAGCUCAUAUGAUGGUGAACUGAAAGUCUCCUAGAGGGGGGUGAAUAGGCAAAUCUGAAAUUUAUAAAGUUUAAGCACAACUACAAGCCGGGGUUAGCGUUAGAAAUAUAAUCAGGUCCGAAAGAGUGGGCGAAAACAAAUCACAAGCGAAUAAGAGCGGAUGACACGAUGAUUUGUUUGACCAAGGUUCGGUUCAUGCAAACCUACUCCCCGUUGAGGUGGUCACAAAGACCGGGUCUGUUUUAACCCUUUCCCUCUCUCAAACGGUCACCUAAACCGAGUGAGCUUCUCUUCUCAAUCAAAUGAGACACUUAGUCCACUACAAGGAUCACCACAACUUCGUGUCUCUUGCUUUGAUUACAAUGAUCUUGGGAACAAGAAAGAAGGAAGAAGAAAAGCAAUCCAAGCGCAAGAGCUCAAAAGAACACAAAAGUCUCUCUCUAGUCACUAAUUUGUUUGGAGUGAAUCUGGACUUGGGAGAGGAUUUGAUCUCUUUGUUUGUGUCUUGAAAUCUAGAGCUCUUGUAU
rnacentral:lncRNA from 7 species